rnacentral:rRNA from 1 species
GAUGAACGCUGGCGGCGCGCCUAACACAUGCAAGUCGAACGAUUAAAGCACCUUCGGGUGUGUAUAAAGUGGCGAACGGCUGAGUAACACGUGGGCAACCUGCCCCUUUCAUUGGGAUAGCCACGGGAAACCGUGGAUAAUACCGAAUACUUCGAGACUUCCGCAUGGAAGACUCGAGAAAGCUCCGGCGGAGAGGGAUGGGCCCGCGGCCUGUUAGCUUGUUGGUGGGGUAACGGCCUACCAAGGCAAUGAUGGGUAGCUGGGUUGAGAGACCGACCAGCCAGAUUGGGACUGAGACACGGCCCAGACUCCUACGGGAGGCAGCAGUGGGGAAUCUUGCACAAUGGGCGCAAGCCUGAUGCAGCGACGCCGCGUGCGGGAUGAAGGCCUUCGGGUUGUAAACCGCUUUCAGCAGGGACGAGGCGAAAGUGACGGUACCUGCAGAAGAAGCCCCGGCUAACUACGUG